rnacentral:rRNA from 1 species
GAUGAACGCUAGCUACAGGCUUAACACAUGCAAGUCGAGGGGCAGCAUGAACUUAGCUUGCUAAGUUUGAUGGCGACCGGCGCACGGGUGAGUAACACGUAUCCAACCUGCCGAUGACUCGGGGAUAGCCUUUCGAAAGAAAGAUUAAUACCCGAUGGCAUAGUUCUUCCGCAUGGUAGGACUAUUAAAGAAUUUCGGUCAUCGAUGGGGAUGCGUUCCAUUAGCUUGUUGGCGGGGUAACGGCCCACCAAGGCAUCGAUGGAUAGGGGGUCUGAGAGGAAGGUCCGCCACAUUGGAACUGAGACACGGUCCAA